UCAAACGGCGGGGGUGCAUUAUAAAGGCCA
rnacentral:piRNA from 1 species